CUCAGAAAUAAUACAAUAUGUCUAGACUGACCCCCCUUGUUAAAACAUUGUUAUUUCUAAUCAGCGCAUAUACUAACGGUGCCCCCACCCCGGUCUAUAAAUUUACAUCGGACACCCCCCAAGGUGCUACCCCUAAGGUGCUAUGAAGCAUAAAUGCAAUACUGGSAGACAGAAUGUGUCUCGACACCCCCUCCUGGUACUCCAGGCCCAUUUUUUAGCAUAGAGGAUGGCCAAAAGAAAAAACGUCACCCCAUGCCUUGUAAACUAAUUCAGUACUAUUUCUCCUUUUGAAGCCAAGACGGCGAACGAGUCUAGUGAAACAGACACUUUCCCACUCUGUUAGCACCGCUUUAGCGACAACUACAAACCCCACAGGCCAACAGCCCCGAAUAGUUAUCGGACUGAACAUUUAAAAGAGCAUCUGUGAAUCCAGCCUAAUGGAGCUUUCUGAAGGAUAUCAGACAUUAAGCCAACUGCACCCGGGGAUAAAUGCUAUGGAACAGCCUUCGUUAGAAUGGAAUUCCGAGGAGCAACGGGSGGACACAGAAUUUUACGAGAUAUCUAUAUGUCAACUGUAUGUAUCUUUUAUGAUAAAAUGUACAACCGACAUCGAACCCCCUACACCUCUGGAGGACAUGGUCGAAACGGAAGGGGUACCCCGGAACAUAGAGAGUAAAACAAUGAAUUCGGGAAGAUUUCACCGCUUUAAAUGACAUUUCGGAGGUCGCUGAUUUGCGGUUGUUUGAAAUGGGCAGAAAACAGGUUAAGGACAACUCUGAGACAGAAACAACAUUCAGUCAUGAUAUUCUAAAACAGGAAGACAACGAUUUUUACAGAUAUUCAGAAACGGAUGGACAAUGAUUUUUUAAAUUAUUUUUAUUAUUUUUAAAUAUAUUUUUUAGGCAAUAUGUCAAAUGGACGUAUUCUUAUAAGUUAAAAUGUAUCUAUUUCGUAUAAAUACAGGUUAACAUUAUCUAACGUUGGUAUGAUACCCAGAGGCUACCGGGCAUAAUUGAUUGGGAACCGACAGCGUUAGACGGCGAUUCUCAGAAGCAAACUGCGCCCGGUCCUUUACGUAGCCCUUCACCAACACACUAUUUUUCGACCGGACAGCCAACAAACAGGGGUACAUGCAGCAUUAGGGACUCUGAACGACUUCGGAAGAGCAGAUGAAACAGAUGCAAUUCUAGGGUUUUGUACUAACGGCCUUACCCUAACUCCAAACACCAGCCAGCAGCCCAGGACAGAUACRACGAUAAUCGRUGAAUCCUUCCUUCCUCAUGGAACUUUUUGAAGGGGAGUUGAACAUUCAAGGUGAUGUAUGUAUAUAGAUAUAUAUUAUCUAAGAAUGAGAGGUAUUAAUUCUAGGCAUUUACCUGUAUGUUUUWAAAAAUGAAGGCUAUUUAUACAAUGAACCAUUGUCUUUAUUCAUACUGUUUGUAAACAAUAGCUUCUGCCCUCUUAGGGUCUACUUGACCCGGUUAAUAAAUCAGACCUCUCAGACUAGAAAGUAUGAUUAUUGACUCCUGAGUGUUGAACUUAUGCCCACUCUACAGCAACCCUGAUUGUUAUAUGACCCUGAGGAUCAUCUACGAACGUUGGAACAUCUAGAACAAAAAUAAGGGGCACAUGUGCUCUUAAAUGUCCACUUAGAGCAUGGUACCUCUAUAUUUUUGUUCCUAGGUUUAUGACUUCUAGGGCGUGUUUCCAAGAGGCUGUGCUAAGGCAUAGGCAUAAUAGGUCUUAGAUUCUAUAGCCGGGGUAUCUGUUAAACACAUUGUGACAACUAUUGAAGAUGCAAAAAGGGGUUUUCAGAAAUACAUUUGGUUGAYAGAUUUGUAUUAUUAUAAAAAAUAAUAUAACAUUAUUAUCAUAAUCUUUAGUAUUAUUAUGUUACAUGCGUGACAUACCCAGAAAUGUCAACGUAGACAACUUACAAGAAUGUGUUUACCAGGCAGUGAUGAAAACAUUUUGAAGGAGCUGUUGUUCAAACAUGCAAAGAUAUAUAUUUGAUACAAUUACCAACGUUAAAACUGUUGUUACAAUAUCACUUCUCAUUGUGUACAUUUCAAGCUUUCAACAACAAUUAAACAACCAUCUAAAUAAUGUUUCUCGGACUAACACACUGUUGAGUUUCCUAUUUACUAAAGAAAAACCACUAAGACAAAACACAAAAAGCUGUAAUAUAAUAUGUAUACAUGUAACGGCAGAUUUCCUCCUCUUCGUCUGAAGAGGAGGUGUGUCAC